GUCGGUUGGCGGGAUCGUCACUCCAUUCGAAGUCCAGCAUUGAGUAUGGUUAUCACUGGAUUUGGCCCAUAGAGGGUGAGAGGCCCGUACGAGUGGAGAUUCAGACACGUGUGACGAUUCACCAGGCCGACCUCAGAGUCGGGUUGUUUGAGAUUGCAGCCCAAAGAGGGUGGUAAACUCCAUCCAAGGCUAAAUACUGGCACGAGUCCGAUAGCGAACAAGUACCGUGAGGGAAAGUUGAAAAGUACUCUGAAGAGAGAGUAAACAGUACGUGAAGCCGCAUGCAGGUAAACGGGUGGCGUCAAGCUGCGAGCCCGGAGGAUUCAGCUGAUUAGGAUGUAGUGUACGUGCGCCUGGUGCGUCGAGAGACCAGAAUAAGAUGUAUUGCGGUUCACUCCUAUACUGGGAGUGAGGCACUAUCGGUGUGCGUGUGCGAACAUGUGUGCCGAUUGUUGCUAUGCAUGCCGGAUGGGUGCCGGAGCAUGUCGCUCGUCUGUUGGGUCACCUAGUCAGUGCAUUUUCUCCGUGGUGAACACCACGACCGGUGGAACUGCCAGUCUGCUGUUAUCAAGUCCUAUCCUUCUGACCCCCCCCUAUCUGCCUUUCGCCUUCACUUCUUCCACUCUAAUGCGGGUGGCGGUAGUGGUAGUAGAUUGGUGGAUGUGUGUGUGUGUGUCAGUUGGAUACGAUUGCAGAUAGAGUUAGUGGACGGCGUACUGGUGCCUUGGUACUGCCGCGUGUUAGUGUACACUCUCUAUCCUAAUCGAUUAAUGGGGUUUGACUAAGUACUGUAACUGCCUCUCCAUUAAUCGGCGGAUAACAGUGGUAAAAAUGACUGUGCAGGGCACUGGAGUUAUCCACCUCAUCCAUUUAUUCUAUCAUUUAUUCAUUCACUUAUUUAUGCACCUAUUUAUUACAUUCAUUCCAACGGGUGAAUGUGUGAGUUAGUGCAUGAGCGAGUGAGUGAGUUAAUGAAUGGGAUGAAUGGACAUGGUACCCGACACGCACGUUACAGGUGCUAUGGAAUCGGAGCACGCCGCUGUUUGCCUGGUGUUGGGCCUGACAGUCGUGUUGCCUGCACAAAGUGGGUCCGGCGGUGGUUACAGACACUUGGCAGUGGCAGUGUGUAGCGUGCUUCGGGUGUGUGUGGUAUCGGGGGUGAAAUAGUCAGUGGUGCUGUGGUAGACGAGCUACCCGACCCGUCUUGAAACACGGACCAAGGAGUUUAACAUGUGUGCGAGUCAAAGGGUCCUACGAAACCCCGAGGCGCAGUGAAAGUGAAGUUCAUGCUAUACUUUUGUGCAUACACGCAGUAUAGCAUGGCGAGGUGAGAUCUCCUUGUGCUCAUGACACACGCCGCAGACCUUACUGGGCAAUAUUGGGGCAAGGAGCGCAUCACCGGCCCGUCGCAUGUUGUGGUCA
rnacentral:rRNA from 1 species